AGCUCGAUGAGUAGGGCGGGACACGUGGUAUCCUGUCUGAAUAUGGGGGGACCAUCCUCCAAGGCUAAAUACUCCUGACUGACCGAUAGUGAACCAGUACCGUGAGGGAAAGGCGAAAAGAACCCCGGCGAGGGGAGUGAAAAAGAACCUGAAACCGUGUACGUACAAGCAGUGGGAGCACGCUUAGGCGUGUGACUGCGUACCUUUUGUAUAAUGGGUCAGCGACUUAUAUUCUGUAGCAAGGUUAACCGAAUAGGGGAGCCGAAGGGAAACCGAGUCUUAACUGGGCGUUAAGUUGCAGGGUAUAGACCCGAAACCCGGUGAUCUAGCCAUGGGCAGGUUGAAGGUUGGGUAACACUAACUGGAGGACCGAACCGACUAAUGUUGAAAAAUUAGCGGAUGACUUGUGGCUGGGGGUGAAAGGCCAAUCAAACCGGGAGAUAGCUGGUUCUCCCCGAAAGCUAUUUAGGUAGCGCCUCGUGAAUUCAUCUCCGGGGGUAGAGCACUGUUUCGGCAAGGGGGUCAUCCCGACUUACCAACCCGAUGCAAACUGCGAAUACCGGAGAAUGUUAUCACGGGAGACACACGGCGGGUGCUAACGUCCGUCGUGAAGAGGGAAACAACCCAGACCGCCAGCUAAGGUCCCAAAGUCAUGGUUAAGUGGGAAACGAUGUGGGAAGGCCCAGACAGCCAGGAUGUUGGCUUAGAAGCAGCCAUCAUUUAAAGAAAGCGUAAUAGCUCACUGGUCGAGUCGGCCUGCGCGGAAGAUGUAACGGGGCUAAACCAUGCACCGAAGCUGCGGCAGCGAC
rnacentral:rRNA from 1 species